CUGAAAGUGUAGCGACUUAGCGCGAAAUUUAAAGCAAAUAGUCUUAAUUGAAUAAUUUUUAUUUUAAAGUUUAAUUUAUAUUGUAUGUGUCAAUGAAUAGGGAAACUUUGGGAUUUCUUAGAACCAAUUACAACCCCUGUUUGUCUAAAAGUCAAUGCACCCGCCGAAAACACUGUAAAGGAAACACAGGCAACCACCUCGAAAUCUACGUCCUCACACACAUCCAGCACGUUCCAUAGCUUGAUAAAUUCUGAAAAACGGUCUGAAAUUUAACUAACGACGACCCGGAUACCUGAAUUGAUUUAGACAGCACUGGUACAUAAUAAAUCGUGAUAAAAUUAAUUCAAAGUAGCACCCAAAAACCACCGAACUUUGCACGAAAUUACGUUUUGUUCUCAAAAAAGAAAAAGGAAAUAAAUCAAGAUGGUCCAAGGCGAGAAAUACCUGGCAACCAAGUCCUUGUCUAUUGACAACUCUCACAAGAAGAGUGGAUUCGACGCUGUGCAAAAACGCGAGGAGGAGAAAAGGCAGCAGGCCAGGAAGGAGCAGGAGCAGAAAGCUAAAUAUGGAGCCUGGGGUCCUGUUUUCAAAGACAGGGAAACUUUUGCCAGCAUGCACUUCUGUUGAAAACAUAAAAUUUUAUAUGGAAUAAUAAAUUUGUUUUAUAAAAUACUAGCAUACUAACAAAAGGACUAACAUGAUACUACCUUGGACCUAAAUACAAUACUCAUAUAAAUUGGAACAAAACAGAGAUGGCAACGCUUUAAUGUACUAAUAAUAACUAAUAUCUAAUAAAUUAUCCUUUAAU